UUUUUUUUUUUUUUUUUUUUUUUCUGAUCUGUUAAGCAUUCCUUUUAAUUCAUCUCAUCUACUGCAGAUAUUCAAAAGAGAAGUAUAGGUGAUGGAUAGUCAGUCCAAACCAUAUGCUUCUGAUAAAAAGUCUCAGGUAGGUACUGAGUGGUAGCUAAUGCAGACCAACUAUUAACUGUUAAUGAAGUAGGCAUAAGGGUCUAAAUUAUUGAGACUAUAGUACAAUGAUGAUUUAAUUUACUUUAAGUUCACACUGUAAGUAGAGAUGUGGUAGCCUGCAAACACAGUCUGGAAGCAGAGACUCCAUAUGGCUGCAGUAUUCCAUGAUAAAAGCUGGAAUUUUUCUCCAUCCCCUAAAAAAAUCCCAAACUCCAUGAAACAUCAUUUCUCAACCUGUGAAAUGAAAGUUGUCAACAACAUGGUUGUCAACAACCAUGGCACAAAGGACCCUACAAAUACAUGUGGGGUCAUUUUGUAGAUGUACCCUGCCAUAGUGGCAUAUAUAUUGCAAUCAUGGCCAGCAUAUGAAAUGCACACAUGAAUUUUGAUAACUGAGUUCUGGAUAAUUUACAACUGAAUUACACUCAAAUCAGACAAGUAAUACUCAUGGAGUAUUUUUUACUAGCUGAUAACUUCAACCAGACCCAAGAUGGUAUCUUCAGAUAACUGGGGGUGCUCUAGUGAGUGAGUUGCACUUUAAAAAAAAAUUGUCUAUCUGCCUAUCUUAGCUCUUUCAUGGAUCCGUUACUAGCAGAAUUGGAAAUUUCCCAGUAGGAUCAAGAGUUUAUACUUAACACAAAGCAUAUUUAAUUUUCUUUGGCUUGUCUUAAAAGCAAGGGUCAUUAGUUAGGUGAUCUGCUGAUUGUAGCUGAAGUUUGCAAAAAUUUCUUUUGAUAAAAUGGAUCUUUGUCCAAAAAAGAAAGCAGGAAGCAAAAUUCAAAUCUCUAGGAACAGUCUUCAGAAUUUAAUCCUUCAUCUUAAAAUGGGUUUAGCCCGAGGAAAGACUUAAAACUGUCUAACUGGAUAGAGGUAUCCAGCCGCAGAAGGCAGAUCUGCUGGUGCAGCCUGGUGAAACAUGGGGAGCAAGACAUGACAACUCUUUUGCCUCAGACCUUCUUGGCACACUGAGCAGCCUAGGUUUAGCCAUCAAACAAUUGCAUGCAGAAUAGCGAAGUACUACAAGCUGGCUGUGUGUAAACAAUGCAAAAGGCAAAUCUGUAGGAUUGCAUCUACCAGCUGAAAUCUAUGGGCCAGGAAGGGAGGUAGAAGUGAAGCCCCAGCUGCACCCAGGGGCUGGGAAGUCUAGGGUCCCAGAGAAUGUCUGCAUUUUAGACUGCACACAUGCAGUGACCAUAAGCUGUCCCCGGGAGCUGUCCCUCCUCAGGUUAGCAUGGUUGGCAGUGUCAGGAGGAGGAAGUACAUCUGUGCAAGCUCCACAAGAAGGGACCUCUGAUUCUUCUUUGAUGUAAAUCUGGGCUGCAGCAUGAGUUUUGGUCCUAUUCAUUCCUGAGGGAUGAGAGCCCUCUGUAAUAAUAGAGAGUAAAGGCAACUGAAGGGGAAAGGCAGAGGCAUUUGAGAUAAUUAUCAUGUACAUCCAGGGGCCUGUGAUGUUCCCAGUUCCUUCUUCAGACUGAGCUGAGAGUGAGGGAGCAAUGCUAACUUUGGUACCCUUUUGUGGGCCUUACGCAUACAGCUCCUGCUUGGGCAUGCAGUCUGCAAGCACUCAGUGGAAUUGGCUGGAUCUGGAGCCUCUCUGGAAUGUCAUGUCAAAGACUGGUAGAUGCAAGGACACAAGGCCCCAUCUGGAUCUCUGAGAGGCAGAAUGGGAGAGAGUCCCCUAGUCAGCUUCACUGGUGCUUGCCACAUGCUUAAGAUCUAGCACAUUCUAGCUUGCUCUGCUGGUUUGCAGCCAGAUUCCUCUGCUUCAGGCCCAUAAAAUGAGGGAAAGUGUGGUGCUUGAGCUCUUUCACAAAUUAAUGGUGGUAAGACUUGGAGGGAGGCUGAGAAAACACUGCCCUCAAAGCACAUGUGCAAGUCCUAAGCCAGAGUCCUACCGGGACUGGUGAGAGCCAGGCUGAAGCUCUGGCUGCCAACUUAACAGACUAAUUAAGAAGUAAAAAGAGGUUGUUAAAAAACUCAUAUCAACUUCAGAGUACCUUGUGAGCAAGAUGCUUUUAACUUGGCAGUUGAUGUCUCCAUGAAGACAUCCUACCAGUAGCCAUCCUGCUGAAGCAUGGUGUGCACUGGCACUACGAUAGUGCCCUGACAAGAAAGCUAGUGGAUCACCUGGAAAAGGUAUACCCUUGUUCAUGGUAUAGUUUACAGACCCAUGCCCAGACGGGCUUGAUAGCCAUUCCUCCCUGCUCUGCCCCCAUUCAUUGCACUAGUGCAACCCCCACAUGACUCCUGCUUCAACAUGUUGCAUUACAUGAUGCCUUGUGUGCUGCAAUAGAAUUUAGGCUGUAUCAAGGUGAAAACAUACUUGUUCUGAACAGUGAUAUAAAUAUAAUAACUACCUCCAGGAGCAACCCCUCCAUUUGUGAGGUUUAUGCCAAAGGCUCAGGAUACCACACACCUCCCUUGCUUUAUCUCCCUUCUCUGGUCCCACUGAGGAUUGAACUGUGGAUUUAUUCUCUAGUCUGGAGUAAAGGACAAACCAGGAUAUGAAUUGUAAUUCAGCUACUCUCCAAAUUGUCUUUCUCUGCAGCUCCAUAUUUCUCUGCAAUCUAGCCUCCUGGUGGUGGUGCAGAAUGGCUCUGGGAGCCGAUAAGGAUGCCAGCACACCAUGCAGGACCUCUAAGGUGCAGACCUUGCCUGAGAUCUAUUCCUACAGCCCCUACCUAGUGUGGUCCACCAGGAACAUCCCUGGAGCUGCAGAGACCUUCACCAUGGAUGGGGAGAAGUGGGUGGUCCAUGCAGUGGGAGUGAAGCAGGCAUUUUACCACUAUUAGAGAACGAAUUGUUACAGAAUUCGGCCUCCAAAGCAUGUGUGUCUGCUUCUGGCACUGGCUGGGGGCCAGCCAGCUGCUGCUGCCUGGGGAAAAAGACAUGGUGCCAGCCAGCAUGCAACACUACCACUAGUGGCUGAGUACUUAAGUGCUGUCAGUCCUUCUUUCCCCUCAUCCUCCUCCUCCUCCUCCUUCUCUCAGGGCAAACUUCUGGAAUGCAGAGGAACAUGUGAUGGGGUAUCAGAGGUCUCCUGCACCAGAACCCAAAGAAGAAGGUUGUGCAUCCUGGUUGGUAUUAAGGGUGUGUAGUACAAUAGCCAGGCCCUGUUUUUACCGUGUGAGCAUCACCACUGACCACACUUCACCAUUUCUCCAACAGAAAAAAAAAUUUUGAUGAAACAUGAAUAUAAAAGAGGGAAAUGCUUUCCCUACAGAUGAAGGGUUCAUGGCAAGUAACAAGGGUUUGGAAACUCAGAAUUGCUCUCUUUUUAAAAAGAGAGCAGAAGAAGGUUAAUGAGCACUGAUUUUUAGUGUAACUGUGUUACAAAUGCAAGUUCCCAUACGCUCCUGAGAGCCAGCUUAUUUCUGCCCUAAUGAGCAAGCUGAAACACAGCCUCGUGUAUGCUGCCAAAGGCAGAGCCAGAAUACUCCAACACAAUAAAAAUUCUCCACUGCCCUCAAGCCUCCAUCUAAAAUUGUAUCCAAACCUGAAGUGAAUUAUUUCUGAAAGAGUAAUUACUUCUUGAUUACUUUUUACCAACCUCUAGGCUCCCAGGCUCCAGGCAGAAGUCAAACUGUCAGAUGUCAAAAGGGAGAGAGAGAAAAAAAAAUGUUCAUACUGCUACUCCAACCCAGCUGGAAGAAAGGAACACAAUAAAUCUUUGCUUGUGGGAGCUCCAGACCACUUUCCAGAGGCUGUGUUUCUUCUGAUGCAUUUCUGAUAAGCCUCCAAACCCUGACAGAAUUCUGACCUACCCUUGCUGCAUAACAUGGGAAAGGAGGGGAAAGCUUGGCACCAGCAGAGAGACGCAAAGGUGAGCGCACGUGGAGGGCAGACCAUCUCCACUGGCUGCUUUUCAGCCCUCUGUGGAGGUGGGCUAGAAGGGGGUCUGGCCCUUCUCUUCCCACCCCAGCCAAAAGCCAGCACAGGUCUCCCACCUGGUGAAGCACCUUUCACCACCAGCAGACUGGUGUGGUGCAGGAAUGAUCCCCCUACCAGGAGCUGCCUACCAGCCCUUGCCCAGACCAGCUGGUGCAUUUUCAAACUCUCCCUCCUCCCCAAGCCUCAUUCCUCACAUCAAACCCUUUCAGAGAGGAUUUGAAAUUCUUCCCUAUUUAGCUAUCUUGGCUGGGCACGACAGCUGCUUGCAUGCAGUACCCCCAGUUUUCUCCAUCAUCCGGUGGAGCACGCUAACCACUCACAGGCAGACGUCCUGCUGGGUCCAGACCACAGUUCAGGUUGGGUGAGGAUUUUGAAGCCCAGCACAUCACUUUGCUAAUGACCGGUUUCUCUGACAGAGUCCUGUCAAUGAUCACUCUCUUUAUACUUAAGAUAAUUUGUACUCUUGUAUCUCCCCCAACACACUUCUAAAAAACAUUUUCCUUUCUAAGCAGUGAUAGUGGGUACUGGAUACAGUAUUCCUUGAACAGGUAUGUUUCUUUUUUCCAUAGUGUCAUGUGACACUUUAUAUUUUGCUUUUUAUACUUUUUAACAGAUCCUUACAUAAAAGCUUUCUUAGUAUGGAGCUUUUGCUAGUGAAGAAUUUUCUUCUGUGAUUUCAAUCUUCCUAGGUUUCUUCUUGAGAGACAUUUGCUCAUUUAUAGUCUAUCCAUAUGUAUGUAAGGCUAGGGCUGUUUUUCCCUGCAUGCAUAAUGUGAAAGGCUCUUUUUUACCGUUGAAUUUCAUCAUGGCAGUUUAUCACCCAGUCAUUCAUUGUCAGUGAACACUGAGAAAGUAAUUUUUCCCUAGCAUAGCUAAUGGAAUUAUGCAUGGCUUUUCCUUUGUGGGUGAAUAUCACCAGUGCUGCAGCCCUUGACCAGAUGUCUCGGUUAUAGCUGAAUAAGUGAAGAAUGCUGGAAGGAAUGUGAGGUCUAAUUCAAUCUCAAAAGAAAGAGUCUGAUCCGGAACAUAUUUUAUUCCUGUAAGUAUUUUAAAUUAUGGCUUCCUUCCCUCAUUUCUCUUUGAUUGAGCAGAUGCUAUGUAGCAUCAGGACUACUUUGGGGAAUAUUUCAUUCAAAGUCACCAUGCACUGGUUGGGUUGGAUUUAUUUCCGUAACUUCAUUCAACCACAAGGAUACCACAUAUUUUAUAUUCCUCGGUAUAUCAAAGCCAAGAGGCUAGAUAUGAAGCCUCUUCAGGUAUGUAAGUCAAUUUUUAAAAUGAAAAAUGAAAAUCAGAAGAUGGAAUACAGCACAAAUAGGUGUGUUACAAUGGACCUAAGAUUCUCAUCUCACACAUCAGAUCUAUUAUCUGAUCUACUAUUAAGGCUUUGUGGAGGAAUCAAAAAAACACUAUAUUUUCACAAAACAGUGUAGCAGUAAUAGUCCUGGUUUAGGGUCAAGGCUGUG
rnacentral:lncRNA from 1 species